GAUGAACGCUGGCGGCGUGCCUUAUACAUGCAAGUCGAGUGGGUUUAGACCCACGGCAAACGGGUGAGUAACACGUAGGUACUUUCCUUGUCACAGGAAUAACCCUCCGAAAGGAGGGCUAAUACCUGAUGUGAUCGCAAGAUUAAAGGGUAUCCGCAAGGAUUACCGGACAAGAAGAGGCCUGCGGCCUAUCAGCUAGUUGGCGGGGUAAAUGCCCACCAAGGCUAUGACGGGUAGCUGGUCUUAUGAGGAUGAUCAGUCACAUGGGCACUGAGACACGGGCCCAACUCCUACGGGAGGCAGCAGUAGGGAAUUUUGCGCAAUGGGCGAAAGCCUGACGCAGCGACGCCGCGUGCGGGAUGAAGGCCUUCGGGUCGUAAACCGCUUUUAUAAGGGACGAACUUUGACGGUACCUUAUGAAUAAGAGGUUGCCAACUCUGUG
rnacentral:rRNA from 1 species